rnacentral:ribozyme from 1 species
UGCUUUUCAUUUAUUAUAUUAUUUGUUUAUUGUUUUUAUUCUUGGGAGCCACCAGUUAAAAAGAGUGAACGAGUACUUGGAGCAAUUAGAGAGGGAGGCACGCAGAGAGAAGAAAAGAACUUUCAACCAGCUAUAUAAUUAAUU